rnacentral:rRNA from 1 species
UAAAGAAAGCGUAAUAGCUCACUGGUCGAGUCGGCCUGCGCGGAAGAUGUAACGGGGCUAAGCCAUGCACCGAAGCUGCGGCAGCGACACUGUGUGUUGUUGGGUAGGGGAGCGUUCUGUAAGCCUGCGAAGGUGGCCUGUGAGGGUUGCUGGAGGUAUCAGAAGUGCGAAUGCUGACAUAAGUAACGAUAAAGCGGGUGAAAAGCCCGCUCGCCGGAAGAC